AUGAAAACCAACAAAGCUCCUGGACCUGAUGGUCUGCCUAUAGAGUUUUAUCAGAAGUACUGGCAUAUCAUAGGAGUAGAUAUUUUAGAUCUUUUCUGCGAUUUUUACAAUGGGAAGCUUGAUCUAGCUAGGUUUAACUAUGGGGUUCUUGCACUUAUUCCCAAAUGUGCUGAUGCUCAGACUUUGCAACAGUACAGACCUCUUUGCUUACUAAAUGUGAUUUUUAAGAUUUUUACAAAAGUGCUCAACAAUAGAGCCAUUGCUGUAGCAGAUAAAGUUGUAGCUCCUGUCCAGACAGCCUUUAUUAGAGGUAGAUACAUUCUGGAUGGGGUGAUUGUGUUGCAUGAAAUAUUGCAUGAAGUACAUAGGAAAAAAGAGAGUGCUGUGUUUUUUAAAGUAGAUUUUGAAAAAGCUUAUGAUAAAAUUAAUUGGGAUUUUCUGUAUUUUGUCAUGGAAAAGAAGGGUUCCCCUCCUAAAUAUAGAGAAUGGGUCAAACAGACAGUAGAGAGGGUCAGAGGGGUAAGGUAG
rnacentral:rRNA from 1 species